GUGAGUUAGAGCUCAGAGGAAUGCAAGGCAGGGAAGCAUCAUUCUUUCACCCUUCACGGGGAAGUAAACUGAGGCUGGGAGAAGAUUAGGAGCCAAAGGCUCACAGCUAGUUCCAACCCAGGUCUUGAAGCUCCAGCAUCAGUGGCCCUGCUCCUAGGAUAUGGCUGCCUGCCAGUUUCCCUGGGCAAAUGGAUGCCUGCUCCCAAGGACCAUCUAGAAAGGAAAGUUGGACACUGGGAGAUGGAAAGAGACUGCAUUAGGGAGGAGGGUCCUGGGGAAGUCAAAGCUUCCACACCUGUUCUCAAAGCCCCUCUGAGGUAUCCCCUCCCAGAUUCCAGAUCAGGUUUGGGGCUCCCAGGAGCCCUCGCUUUCUCCCCAAUAACCUCCUCCCCUGGCUCCGGGUCCUGCCCUUUGGGCUACAUGGCACAGCCUGUUUCCCUGGCCCUGUGAAGGUCCCUCCAGAGGCUGCUCUGCUCCAAGGCACACACAGACCCCAGGCCUGGCCUCCCUGAGUUGUUCCUCCCUACCAUGGCCUCUAUCCCCUGUGCGGUCUCAUCCGGAGUAAGCCUGAAGCUCGUCUUGUGAAGCCACCAUCACAUUGGCUCUUUCAGCAAUAAGCCUAAGAAAUGUAGUCUCCUCAGGCCCACGAGGUCCUCUAGAACCCCCAGAUCUUUGUGCCAACUCGUCUUUCUCCAGCUGAAGUGCUACAGCCUCUUGGUCUAUCCAUGUAGAGCUGUGAUGGCAUCAAGAAGGAAGUGAGACGCCCCUGGGACACUCCCAGGAGGGAGCAGAGGCUCUGGGGCUCCUGGCAGGGUUGUAAACUCCAGCACUGGUCGACAAUCUCUUCACUGGAGGCAUCUGGCACCUAGAGGACCCUGUGGAAGCCAUGAGGGGUGAAGCUGCCAGCCGCCGCAGGUCCCCCUCCCCACUGCCCGUGCCCAGGCUGGCCUCUGCACAGGCAGGUUACCUUAAGACCUGGACACCCCUCCCUCUUCUGGGGUGCUGAACUGAUUCCUGGCUCUGGAGAACUCUUAUAGAAGCCACACAGCUUCUGCCAAAGUGUCCCAUGUCCACCAAGACAUGGAACACCAGGGUCAGCCUGGCUGAGAAGGCCCCAGAGCAUCUAGAGACCCUUGGGUCUAGAGACCUCCCACGAGAAAGGCUGGCAUCCUGGGGGAAGCCUGAGCCAGGGCAGCCCCAUGGGAGGGGCCUGGGACCAGACUCCAGGUCUGCAGUCCUGUGGCUAUGGGGUCCAGAGCAUAUCCCCCUGGUCUCUCUGGGCCUAACUUCCUUCAUCUGCCCAUAAGAAAAACGGAAGCAAUCCCUUGCUUCUCACAGGAGAGUGGAAGAGCUCUGGGGGUCAAACAAACAAAACAGUGGAGCCAGCCUUCCUUCCUCAUAGGGCAUCCAUGCUGUGUCUGCUCUCACCGGGCUGGUCCAGGAGACUUGAAAACACUCCUGGAAAGGUGGAGGGGCUUUCAGGAGGGGCUCUGUAGUCUCCUGCUCCCCAGAUGGAGGGAUAAGCUCCCCACAGGGUCCAGGCCCUCCCUCCUGCUCUGCCUUCCCCAUUCCCACCUAGCCCCCCACCCAAUCUGCC
rnacentral:lncRNA from 10 species